UACGGGGGGGGCAAGCGUUGUUCGGAAUUACUGGGCGUAAAGGGUGCGCAGGCGGUCCUGCAAGUCAGGCGUGAAAUCCCCGGGCUUAACCUGGGAAUGGCACUUGAAACUACGGGACUGGAGUAUGGCAGAGGGAGGUGGAAUUCCACGUGUAGCGGUGAAAUGCGUAGAGAUGUGGAGGAACACCGAUGGCGAAGGCAGCCUCCUGGGCCAAUACUGACGCUCAUGCACGAAAGCGUGGGGAGCAAACAGG
rnacentral:rRNA from 1 species